CGGGCGGCGUGCUUACCAUGCGAGUCGAACGAUUGAGGCUGGAGCUUGCUCCGGCCGAUUUAGUGGCGGACGGGUGAGUAACGCGUGGGUAACCUGCCUCAUACAGGGGGAUAGCGGUUGGAAACGACUGGUAAAACCGCAUAAGCGCACGGUGUCGCAUGACACAGUGUGAAAACACUCCGGUGGUAUGAGAUGGACCCGCGUCUGAUUAGCUAGUUGGUGAGGUAACGGCCCACCAAGGCGACGAUCAGUAGCCGGCCUGAGAGGGUGAACGGCCACAUUGGGACUGAGACACGGCCCAAACUCCUACGGGAGGCAGCAGUGGGGAAUAUUGCACAAUGGGGGAAACCCUGAUGCAGCGACGCCGCGUGAGUGAUGAAGUAUUUCGGUAUGUAAAGCUCUAUCAGCAGGGAAGAUAAUGACGGUACCUGACUAAGAAGCACCGGCUAAAUACGUGCCAGCAGCCGCGGUAAU
rnacentral:rRNA from 1 species